rnacentral:rRNA from 1 species
UACAGAGGGUGCAAGCGUUGUUCGGAAUUAUUGGGCGUAAAGGGUGCGUAGGCGGUGCUAUAAGUCAGGGGUGAAAUCCUGGAGCUCAACUCCAGAACUGCCUUUGAUACUGAGGAUCUUGAGUUCGGGAGAGGUGAGUGGAACUGCGAGUGUAGAGGUGAAAUUCGUAGAUAUUCGCAAGAACACCAGUGGCGAAGGCGGCUCACUGGCCCGAUACUGACGCUGAGGCACGAAAGCGUGGGGAGCAAACAGG